GAACUCCAUGCCUGCAGAGUCAUCUUCAGAAUGAGUCAGCUCCGCCUUGUCCCAGGGAGGAGACUCACGAGCGGAUGUGAAAUGCGGAUUCCCUAUGAGACGGAGGACUUUGCAUGUCUCAUCCCAUCACGACCAUGUGGGUCUAGCUAUUUCAUAGAAGAGGGGGAAAAUGUGAAAUGGAAUUUUAUUUCCUAAGUACUGUUCUUGGUUUCUGACCAGCUGAUCCCAAGUUUCACAUCCUUGUCUGUGAAGCUAAACUCAAUGCUGCUGUGUGGGAAGAAGAUUUGGAAAGAAAACUCUUAAUCUCAAGGGAAUCAUGAUAGGUGCAGGGGCCACUGCAGUGGGACUGGGCUCAACUCUGAGUAUAACAAGAAAAACGGGAAUACACAGCCACGGAACGGGUGAGGGUGGAUGGAAAACUAUGAAGAGGCGACAUCAGGCCAGGGGGGUUCUUGCUAGAACCACUCAGCAGGAUUCGUGCCACAGCCAGGCCAGGUGAUAAGAUACC
rnacentral:sRNA from 1 species